rnacentral:lncRNA from 1 species
GAACUUUGUCUUAUGUUAUCCAGGUGCUGUUCCAUGAGAUUGAAGGAAUAAAUCACAGCGUGGAAGGCAAUGGCAGCUUGGAGUGAUCAGUGACAGACAGUAGAGGUCAUUGAAUGCUUGGACUUCAGCUUUUUUUUUUUUUCCUGUUUAUUCUUUCUAGAAUCUCAGCCCAUAGAAAUGAGGUCUUAGGAUAGGUUUUACCACCUCCAUUAACUCAACCUAGAAACUUUCUUGAACAUACUUAGAAUGUAUUUCAUUAUUGAACUUAUAUUGCAGCAAGUUGAUACUCGUGAUUAAGAGUAACUACCUCACUUAUCUCCCUCAGUGAAAUGAGGAUAUUCUAGUAUUGAGUAUUAAAUCAGGCUUUGCUAUUCACAGUGUGGGCACGCUGCGUAGUGUUCCUCCUUCCCUUUCUCAAGCCCUGAAUUCAGUGCUGAUACAAAACUUUCUACUUACCUCAGGAUUAUGUUCUUGAUAAGACACAUUUCUAAGCAUAGUGGGUACAAAUAACUAAAUUGUCCUCAGACAUUAGCCAUUUAUUUAAAUUUUACUUUCUU